UAUUUACAUAGCAUGUACCUUGUAUUAGGUAUUACACGUAAUCCUAGAUGAUUUAAGCCAUUAGGAGGGAGGAUGUAGGUUCUUUGCAAACAUGAUACCCUUCUAUAAAAGGCACUUGAGCAUCUGUGGAUUUGGGAGUCUGCAGGGGGUCCUGAGACUGAUUCCCAGUUCAUACCGAGGAAGCACAAUGUUUUUAAAAUCUGGUACUUUCAAAAUGUAAGGCUGAGUAAAUUCUUCCUGCGGAGAUGCAGCAAGACUCUUACUAACCUGGAUGGCGUCUUCCACGCAGCCCUAAGGAAAGGAAGGGCUGCACUGUAGCUACAUUUGUUGCUUUGAUGGCAAGAAGCUGCAAAAUGUUGAGCAGGUAUUUAGACCUAGGCUCUCAGUGCAUGCCACAUGUGACAUGCCAUCACCCCAGAGCACCUGGUCAUGCGUGACCCAGCUACUGAGUAACACAUCUUGAAGUGCUGGUUUCUUAUUGCCUGCUAAGCUGCUGUCUGUUGAGGUCCAGGGUGGCUGGCACCUCCUGUGGAGACAUUCUGGACACGCCCAGCGAGGGCAACCAUGUCAGUACUGUCUGUCUCCGAGGAGAGAGGCCGCUAAAGAUGGAGACGCCAUAGUUCCAGGUAGGGAAGCUCAGGCUCCUGACUAUCUGGGUGGGAGUAUUCUCUUGGGUCUCAGCAUCAGACUCUUCCACAUCAACCACAAUUCUGCCGCUGAUGGCUUCUUGAGUUUGAACCAAUAUAGGUUUCAAUGAAGUACACAUUUUUGCAAGGGGAAAAAAAGGCCAUUGUUCUCAUUCACGAUUUCACAUGGCUGAGACAUUGACUGCUGGAUGAAUUUGUGAAUACACACAUCAUCCUGAAUCAACAUGUCUAGUGAAAUGUUUUCAUUCAACCAGUGUGGUCCUGGAGGUGAACCACUUUUAUAAAUCUGCAAUUGAAAUAAAAAUUUUAUUUUGGAACUAAUGACUGGUAGCUGAUAUCUUUCUUGUUGUUAGACUAAUCAAUGCUUUUCAAAUACAUUAAAGAUGAGGUUCACUUAAAUCUUAAUCUAUUAAAUCCAGUUAUAGAAUAUAACCAGAUUGUUCUUAUGGCUAGGAAAUAAUUGCUUUGAUAAAGGAUUCCUGGCUAUAGGAAAGGAUUAACGGAGCAUUCAUAGCAAAGUUUCCUAAAGAAUUCAAAUAUUUGCUUACAGUUUCUUUACACCUUGACAUUAAUUUGAAAAACAAAAGCUUCGGAAAUCACUUUGAAAUUAAUCAACAAUAAAGCAUAAAGACAAACCUUCCUUGGGAUAAAAAAAGAAAGUCAUCAGGACAUUAUAAGUCACUCUACAGAAAUAUAGGGGAUGUUUUUUUUUUAUCCCCCAACAAUUUACGUGCAUGUACUAAGUGCCUGCAAAAGGACUAAAUGCAGACGACACCCCCUGGUGGAACAUUUGUUUCUAGGUGGUUGGUAGCUUUUUAGCUCUGUAAGUAUGGUUAAAGUGCUUGCUUAAAUUUCUUUGCCUGCUUAGUUGAUCAUCAAACUAUUUUCACAUCAGCUUAUGCCUGGAAGUUGCUUUUUUUUUUAAAGAAACAAAUACAUAAUUAUACUAAAUAUGCUUAAUUAUGCAUCAGAUUACUCAGGCAAAGUAAGUUUUAUGAUAUGUGUUCUACUUUCUCACGAUUCCUUUUGAGAGUUCUCAAAGGAUUACAAAUUGUGCAAAACUUUUGAUAGCAAUAUUUUCACAUGAAAAUAAAACUGGUAGUUGUUGGGGUCGGCUGUCUCACUUCCUGGCAAAUGAUAUAGAUCGUCCUGCUUCAACAUCCAUCCUUUCUACAUAAAGAUUUAUCCAACCAAGGAAUGCAACAUUACACUCAGGAAUCAACUUGGAGUUGAAUGGACAAUGAAUUACAAUAUGGGAAGUCUUCCAAGAGGCAGGUUCAGAAAAGCCAUCAGGAGUGAUGGCUCAGGAAGCUGAGGCAGGAGCAUUGCAAGUUCAAAGCCAGCCUCAGAAAUUUAGCAAGGCCCUAAACAGCUUAGCAGGAUCCUGUCUCUGAAUAAAAAAAAA
rnacentral:lncRNA from 1 species